CCUACGGGAGGCAGCAGUAAGGAAUCUUCGGCAAUGGGCGCAAGCCUGACCGAGCAACGCCGCGUGCGGGAUGAAGGCCUUCGGGUCGUAAACCGCUUUUCCCAGGGGAGAGAACGGACGGUACCUGGGGAAGAAGCCUCGGCUAACUACGUGCCAGCAGCCGCGGUAAUACGUAGGAGGCGAGCGUUGUCCGGAGUUACUGGGCGUAAAGGGUGCGCAGGCGGCCUACCGCGUGGGGGGUGAAAUCGCCCGGCUUAACCGGGCGGGUGCUUUCCAGACGGGUAGGCUUGAGGGGCGGAGAGGGGCGCGGAAUUCCGGGUGGAGCGGUGAAAUGCGUAGAGAUCCGGAAGAACACCGACGGCGAAGGCAGCGCCCUGGACGCCAUCUGACGCUCGGGCACGAAAGCGCGGGGAGCGAACAGGAUUAGAUACCCCGGUAGUC
rnacentral:rRNA from 1 species